UGGGGCCCGUCCUUCCUGGGGUGAGCUUGGACUUCAGGCUGUGGCCCAUGGGGAGACUUGGGAGGGCUUUAAGAAGGGGUGAGGGGAGGCGUGGAGGACAGGGGAGGAUUGUUGAGGCUUUCCAGGUACGGAUGCUUGGGCCUGAGCUAGGGUCUCUCGAGCAAGCCUCCCUUUAUUUGCAAACGCCAUUAUGAGCUGUAGCUUUGGAAUGUUUGCACCUCCAGAUCCGAGUCCUAUGAAGGAAUCGACCCCUAGUGGGAAACAGGGUCCUGGGGGACUCUCAGCUCCCAGGUGACCUCCCGUGACCGUUCACAGAAGCCACAUUCUCAUAUUGUUGGAGUUAGAUAUUCGCGUGCAACACUCCUGGCUUCUCAGGGGUGCCUGGCCUCUGCCCUCUCCGCUGAGUUAUCUUCUCCCGCUCAGAACAUUCUACAGGCCGGGGGCAGCACCAUGAAUCCCUCCCGUGUGAAUCCAGUCUCAUCCUCUAACCCGCGGCCACGUGGCCCGGACAGUGCCGUGACAGGACACUGAGCGAGGAGACCCUGGCCGUGGUCAGGGGCUGUAGGACACAGGGAUAGCAGCUGUCCCUUAUAAGAAAUAUCAGCGAGGGCCAAGAACACCUGCGGCUACCCGCAGGGCACACAGAAGGAAGCGAGGAAACUGCCCUGCUACUUCUGGACAGGGCACAGCGGAGGAGUGCAUGACCGUCACGUAGAUACAGAGCCGCGGCUGCCCUGACAGACGGCGGUGCUCGGCCGGGAGACGGCAGGACCCUCACUGACCGUGGCCCCUGGCGCCAAGCCGUAACCAAGCGGCCAUUUGGCUUGCUGGUGGCACGUGUGGGAUGUCCACUCAACUUAGAACACGGGAGCCUUUUCUUUAUUAGUUUUCAGUGGACUCUUUUUAUAAAGGGAAGAAUUCCUGAUGUGCUAUGCCUCAAAUAAGAAGAUCACACGUUUUAGAAAAGAUGUCGCUUGAUGAGAGUGACCAACAGGAGGACCGACUGACCUUUUUCACGUCCCGCACCAGCAGGUGAAGUGUGUUGGGUGGGCCCAGUCUCUGAAAGACAAGCAUUUAGCCAUAUUCAACCUUUUUUUUUUUUCUUUUCAACCCAGAGUAAAAUCCUGCCCUACCACAUUGAAUUAAUGAGUUGUGAGAACCUGAGUACGACCCACCAUCAGCCUGUUUUAUGAACCAGGAUCCACUGGAGUUGAGAUGUAUCCAACACAUUAAAAAACACGUGAAACACUUUGUACUGGAUUGUUUUCAAGAGCAUCUCAACGGUGGACAAAACAGAGUGAAACAUUCACCGAGUUUUAGCAAGCAACUGCCGAGGGUCAUUUCUGCUACUUAAAAUCCGAGGUCAGGAAAGGAGAAGGCAACUCCCAAAACUUACGUCAUCAUCAUGUAAACCGAGGGGAUUCCAUUCGAAUGCUGCCAUUCUAACAGAGGGGAGCGCCUUGCUGUGAAGACUUAGUUCUAGUCUUUCACCAAAGCCUCAAAGCAAAAGUGGAAGUCCUGGGUUCCACUUGUCUGAUCACCCCUGGGUGAACUUUCAGCCUGACGCUGUGGCAGCCAGUCUCUUGUAUCCCGGGUGUGAGCUUCCUGCUAAUCACACCCCGGGAGGUGGCAGGUGAUGGCUCAAGGACGUGGGUCCCUGCCAUUCACGUAGGAAACCCAGACUGAGUCCCAGGCUCCUGGCUUUGGCCUGGCCAACCCUGACUGUAGCAGAUGGCGGGUGAAAAAAAUCCAGCUCCAGAGCUGGACACUCAGAAGGAAUCUCCGGCCGUGAAAGCCGAGGACGCCAGCAGCACACUCAGAAAGAGGAAGUUCAAGGACGGAGAGGCCAAGAAGGGGAAGCCCCAGGGCAGCUGAGCCCCUGAGAGGGACUGGCAGGUGCUCCCGGUCGGCCAUGCGUUCCGGGAAGACCCUGAACAAGAAGUGCUCGGCUCCCAAAUCCAGCACUGAAAAAGAAGAAAGCUCUUGCUACUGUCACAGAACCAGUUGGUGGUGACGAGAAUUACGGCACCAGUUCAAGUCCACUGUGAGGCUCAGCAGCAAACAGUCCCUGUGUAGUCACGACAACACAAAAUCUGGUUUCUCCAUCUGCAGACUCAACAGAGACCAAGUAUGAAAACUUCGUGGUGAUUAUAGAACUUAAUAAUGGCUAAAGAAUGAUACAUAAGUGUUACGUCUCAUUCUUUACAUGUCAAAGAUGAGGCUAAUUGAAUUAGGAAGGCUGACGGUGUAAAGCGAGUGAGAAGGAGAAGUAGAGAGUGAGUCCGCUCAACACGAGAGACUGAAGCUGAUGAAACAGGCGGAUGGCUCAGUGGGGUCUCUACCAUCGGUGAGAUGACGGUGGAAGAAUUCAGCAGGCAACUGUCAAACCCGGAUGGGGCGGUGGAAAAGAAAGCAGCGCAAGUGAACCGCUCCCUUGUAUACCCAACUGAUAAUUUCUAAGUGAUUAAUAAGGAAAAGGUCCAUGUUGGGAGGCAACAACCAGGAGAUCAAACAUAAAGACAACUAAACACUUUGGGAGGUGGGCUGGGGGCUUCUGCUGGGCUGUUUAUGGUCUUUAUUGUUUGAUUUUUAAACGCCAUAUGUAUGUGUUAACUGAAAAACAGAAAGCAAAAAAUACUAAGCAACAUUAAAAGGUGGUUAAAGGAA